rnacentral:lncRNA from 1 species
GAAUUUCAAAAUUUAGUUUUAAUUUUUAUACAUUGUUAUUUUUGCUUUUUGGUCUUUAGAGAUGGAUUGACUUUAAGGAUUUUGAUUUUGUGAUAUUUCAACGUUUGAGAUUGUGGUGUUCAAAACUGUGUUUUGACAGUUUGAUUAACACUGGUCAAUUUUAGGGGACUCUAUGCCAAAUAUCUAAUGAGACAUGCUCAAUUGUGCUCUCCAGGAUCAAGGUGGUCUUCUGUGAUUCUCCAGUUCAGUAAGAAGCCAUAUGGUCAGUAAAAUGGUUGUUAUGACCACCUGUGCCUCUGCAGUGUGGAUCCAGAUACCAGCACAACCAGGAAGCCUGAGACCACUGUGGCGGGGAGCAGGAUGCUGCAGAGGCAACCCCGUGGCUGGGUGGCCCUCUCCAGUCUCAUACAGUGAAGGCCCAGGGCACUGGACAAUCUCACAACUCCCCCAUCUGUACUUCAACACUAUGUGUAUACAUCACUAAAUAUGGUUGGUGUCUCCUUUUACUAGAGCGGAAGGAUGUGUUCUGAGCACAGUAAGAGAAAUGGCCUUCAGAAAUGCUCUUCCUCUGGACUUAUUGCUGCUUCUAAUUGCUAUAUCAUUCCUCCUUCACCCAGUUAGAGGUUUGUUAUCUAAGAUGAUUUUAUACUGAGCAAGA